CAGACACCUGCCUGCUUCUGCUUUGUUUGCCCAAGUGCCGAUUGGACUGGAUGGGAUGUCCCAAAGCUGACGUGUGUCCCAGGGGCUCAGGUGUUCUGCGCCAACCUGUCUCCAGCCUUUCCUUUCCUUCAGGUCCAAAGUCCACCAUCAGAUCAAGAGAGCGCAGUUAGUGAAACACGAACACGUUGACAGACACCUUUGCUCAUAGACCACAUGCGCAUGUGAACCUGAGCGUGUGUGCGUCUGUGUGUGUUUCAUGGCGCUCUGCAAACACGUUAACAAGAAGGAUGUGUGCCGCCUUCUUUGAAAACUUUGGGAACUCCCUCCUCACACUCUCAAGUCCCCCUUUUCCCCCAAACACACACGCCCCUUUAAUUUGCUUUCUUUUUCUCUCUAUUGCACACACACACACACACACACACACACACACACACACACACACACACACACACACACAUACACACACACACACACUCACACACGCGUGCAUGCUCUUGCCCCCUCCUGUCCCGCCCCACAGACUCUCAGGUUACUGUGUAACUCUAGAUAUGGGGCAGGGCCUUCUGCUUUACAAAGGGCCAAUGCAGUUCUCUCUCAGCAUCUGCAUACAGUUAACUCAAUUUUUUUUUUCUUUUUACAGCAAAAUAAAUGGAAAUUUGAUGUUAAAAUUGCAUAAAUGUGCACCGAUAAAUAGGAGGUGUAAAUGUAUUUUUCAUCUUUAGGACAUACAGGAGAACUUGUAAUGGUCAACAGUGCUCAAUUUGCACACAUUGCACAUUUAACAUUUUAUUGCAGGGGUCAUUUGGAUUGUUUAAAAGAAAGAAUCACUCUUUUGGGGAGCUUCUCUCCACUAACUAAUUGAAUCAUUACUCUUAGUGCACAGUAGUAUCCUGCAGUUCUGUAUAAAUCGCUACAUACAUUUUUGCCUAUGCGAGCACUAUCCCAGUCUGCCCUUGAAAUCAGUGACAUGUUGCUGGAAGUUUAUCGCUGACUUUUUACUGCCUGUAACUUUCCAAAAGUAAUGUAUUUGUGAGACAUCAUUGCCCUAAUUGUUUUCUCCAUUUACUUAAUUAACUUUGCCAUUGAUUUCCCUUCAAACGACCACUAAAUCGGCUGUUUUACACGUAAGUGAUAGCCACAGCCCCUUCUCGUGCCGCCACAUGUUACUGAUAAUUUUUCGACUAAAACAGGACACAUCGUUUGUCAGGACUGCCAAAGCUGAUUAUAUAUGAGCCGUUUCGCUUCCAUGGAAAUUAAGAUUAGCCAGGCGUCACGGAGCGUUCUCAUAAAACUAAAUCAAAGAACAAUGCAAGACAAUGAUAAGGCUGCCUUCUUUCAGCUGUUUGGAAUCCAUGACAAACUUUAGCGUUUGGCUAUUGGCCUAUUAGUAGCUCUCUACUGCCCCCUUUGGAGUAAAUAUAAUACUCUUAUAGCCCAACCAUUAAUGCAAUGGAUUGUGAUGACUUCUUUCUGAUGCUCAUGUUGUAUUUUCUGUUCUUUUUCUCACAACAAUUUUUUUUUUCUGAGGCCAAUAAUAAUACAGCAAACAUAAAUGCAUAUGCAAACUUGGUUGAAGAGAGACAUGGUGCCAGUGUGAACUGCAUUAUGAAGAAAUGGACAGCAGAUGAGCAUCAGCACAACCCUUCACAUACCGCAUUUGCUUUCACAAGCAACGUGUGCCAGGUUCACCUUCCUGUUUAUUUAUGUGUUUAUUCAUUUAUUAAUUCAGUGCUUCGAUUCAAUUGUCAUGAGCUGGGUCUGUGUUGGAUCUCACGCAGAAUAAUCAAACGGUAAGUGUGGAAAGUCAUUUUAAGCAUUUAAAGGUAUAUUUAAUUUUACAUUUAUGGCCGUGUAUGAAUUACGUUGAUUUUGUGACCAUCGAGUUUGGUGAGAAUAUGACCCAAAAAAAGGAAUCGAGGAAGGCUACAUCAGUCAGUGGAAAAAAAUAAAACAGAUGCCUGUGUGUGGGUACGCCAUUUACAAUCUC